rnacentral:rRNA from 1 species
GAUGAACGCUGGCGGCGUGCUUAACACAUGCAAGUCGAACGAUUAAAGCCCCUUCGGGGGUGUAUAGAGUGGCGAACGGGUGAGUAACACGUGGGCAACCUGCCCCUCACUUCGGGAUAACUCAGGGAAACCUGAGCUAAUACCGGAUACUCCGGGAUGGUCGCAUGGCCGACCCGGGAAAGUUCCGGCGGUGAGGGAUGGGCCCGCGGCCCAUUAGCUUGUUGGUGAGGUAAUGGCUCACCAAGGCGACGAUGGGUAGCCGAGCUGAGAGGCUGAUCGGCCACACUGGGACUGAGACACGGCCCAGACUCCUACGGGAGGCAGCAGUGGGGAAUCUUGCGCAAUGGGCGAAAGCCUGACGCAGCAACGCCGCGUGCGGGAUGAAGGCCUUCGGGUUGUAAACCGCUUUCAGCAGGGACGAAAAUGACUGUACCUGCAGAAGAAGCCCCGGCUAACUACGUGCCAGCAGCCGCCGUAAAAC